GAUGAAGAACGUAGCAAAUUGCGAUAAGUAAUGUGAAUUGCAGAAUUCAGUGAAUCAUCGAAUCUUUGAACGCAUCUUGCGCUCCUUGGUAUUCUGAGGAGCAUGCCUGUUUGAGUGUCAUUAAAUUCUCAACUACACUGACUUUGAAUUGGUGUGGCUUGGAUUUGGGGGGAAAAUUGUUGUGGGCUUUUUGUAUAGUCUGCUCCCCUGAAAUUGAUUAGCGGUACCUUUGUGGAACUGUCUACAGGUGUGAUAAUUAUCUACAUCUUAGACAUCUGCUGGAAUGCUGCUUUCUAAACCUUACUUGUAUUGACAAUCUUGACCUCAAAUCAGGUAGGACUACCCGCUGAACUUAAGCAUAUCAAUAAGCGGAGGA
rnacentral:misc_RNA from 1 species